GGGGGAGGGGAGGGGGCACUAUGGCGCUAGGUCCCCCGCCCCACCCCCAACCUGGGCGGCGACAAGGCCGCUUGGCCGGGGGGAGCGGGGUGCGGGGUGGGGGCUGACUCAUCCCCCUCCAGAACUUUCCGUCUUCUGGGACUAUCUGUCUCCUUCCCCCGUCCCUCUGGCCCUCUCCUCCCGCGUCUUCUCCGCGCUGGGCUGCCUGCGUCUCUUGUCUAGCCCCUGCUCCCUCAUCUCUUUGUCUCCCCCUGGGGCUCUACCCUUCUCUGUCUCUAUCCCCCUUGGUCUCUCGGACACCCCCCGCAGCCCCCGCCUCUUCCCGUAACCCUGUCUGUCAGUCUGUCUGUGUCUCCGGCCCUUCCUCCCUCCCUCCCCCGCCCCCGCCCGCCCCCAGCCAGCCGCGAAGUUGGUGAGAAGCCUCGGCGUCUGAAGGGGGGGACGCGGUUUUCCCAGGCACCUCCCUCCUCUGCCGGGUGUAAAGUGUAGAAAAGGGGGGGGUGGCGAGGAGCUGGGGGUGGGGGGCUGGAAGUGGAAGUGGGGCGGGGGGCAGGCUGCGUCUGCGCGGGCCCCGAUAGAGUGGCCGGGCGUUCGCGGGCCGGCCGCGCUGUGAUUAGAAUAUGAAUGGGACUCGGCGGGCGGAGAGAAAGGCGGAUUACCCGGGUGCUCUGACCAUGGACAGAGGCAGCGCCGGCCGGCCGCUCAAGGGGCGGGGCGGGGCGCGCGGGCGGGGUCCCUCUCGCCAGCUCAAGGGGUUUCUAACCCGGGACCCCAAGCCCCGUGCGGCUCCCGCGGUCCCUGAGAGAGCCCCCCACCCCUGUCUGCCCUCCCCGAGCGGGGCUAAGUGGGACAGUGCGGGGAGGUGGGGAGCGCGAGGGGCCAGCACGUGCCCAUUAAGGUCACGGUGCGGGAAGAAGGAGGGGGCGGGGAGUGCGGGCUGGACAGAGCUUCAGCUUAGUGUAUUUCAGAGAGCCGGGUUCGAAUCCCAACUCAGUAAUAGUCUUCAUCUUUAUGGGCCUCGGUUUCCUCGUCUGUAAAAUGCGGCCGAAAUGUCCCCCUUCAAAGUGCGCGGUAAGAUCAGACAAGGUAGUGGAUAUAAAAGGAGCUGAGUACUUGCUGUUCUCUCCGCUUAGAUCUCUCCUUACCAUCUACCCGUCCCCAAUACGUACUCCGUGGGAGCAGCUCCUUCCCACCACCCUGGUCUCAGCCAAGCCUCACGUCCUCGGAGUGUGCCUGAUCACCCUGUGUGAGGGGCCCCUCUUGCUCCGGCCAGUGCCUGGUUCCUUACGCGUUUGUUUCUGCAGCAACUCUGUUCUCAGCCAUUUGCUCUGAGCCCAGAGCCGCACCGNNNNNNNNNNNNNNNNNNNNNNNNNNNNNNNNNNNNNNNNNNNNNNNNNNNNNNNNNNNNNNNNNNNNNNNNNNNNNNNNNNNNNNNNNNNNNNNNNNNUCUGUUCUCAGCCAUUUGCUCUGAGCCCAGAGCCGCACCGGCACAUUCUUUCCGGCCGCAAUGGUUGGUGAAGGAAAAAGGGGCAUGAAACCAACCAAAGGCGACUGUGGUGAAUCACCGCACUUUGUCGUGGUGGGCGUGGUGGCAAAGACCGCGGGAUUCGGAGUCAGAAGAUCCCAGUGGCCCGGUCCUUUCUCAGCCUCAGCUUCUCCCCCGACGAAAUGGGGUGAAUGAUAAAACUCUCCAUCAGCCAGCUGAGCGACUCAUCAGAAGGCAAAACACUUGGCUGGGAGACUGACCAAGUGCUUGCGGAGGUGGCAGAGGCAACACCACCCGGAGUGCUUCAGGCCUCGGGGAAAACCCUUGAGGGAUACCAGGCGGAUAGUCUCUGGAUGGCGGACCAGAUUAUUACGAUGGCUGUAGAUAUUACUCUUAUUUUAAUCAUUAGGCACUCAAAACUGGGGCAGGGUGGACCAGGCUCUCCAGGGAGGAGUGAGGAUAAAGAACUCAUUAGUGGACCACGCAGGAUGGGAUGUGUGC
ensembl:lncRNA